rnacentral:rRNA from 1 species
GGAUUAGAUACCCUGGUAGUCCACGCCGUAAACGAUGAGAACUAGGUGUAGCGGGUAUUGACCCCUGCUGUGCCGAAGUUAACGCAUUAAGUUCUCCGCCUGGGGAGUACGACCGCAAGGUUAAAACUCAAAGGAAUUGACGGGGGCCCGCACAAGCGGUGGAGCAUGUGGUUUAAUUCGACGCAACGCGAAGAACCUUACCUGGGUUUGACAUCCUCUGACCGCCUUGGAAACAGGGUUUUUUUCGGUUCUGCCGAAACAGAGUGACAGGUGCUGCAUGGCUGUCGUCAGCUCGUGUCG